AGUGCUGAAAUGGCUGCCUGAACAUGGGAUCUUUGAAAAUCAGAAGACAUAGAAGCAAAGACACUGAAGGAACAAAUGUCUCAUUUUUAUUAGGGAAAGAAAGUCUCAGGAAGUCGCCUACAUCAUGUCUGACCAACAAAGCUACUUCUCCUUCAAAAG